rnacentral:rRNA from 1 species
UACAGAGGUCCCAAGCGUUGUUCGGAUUCAUUGGGCGUAAAGGGUGCGUAGGUGGCGCUGUAAGUCGGGUGUGAAAUUUCGGAGCUUAACUCCGAAACUGCAUUCGAUACUGCGGUGCUUGAGGACUGGAGAGGAGACUGGAAUUCAUGGUGUAGCAGUGAAAUGCGUAGAGAUCAUGAGGAAGACCAGUGGCGAAGGCGGGUCUCUGGACAGUACCUGACACUGAGGCACGAAGGCCAGGGGAGCAAACGGG